rnacentral:snRNA from 14 species
UCACUUCCUCAGUGCAUAUCCUAAAACUGGAACGGUACAGAGACUCGCAUGGCUGUGUGCAUGGAUGACACGCAAAUCCAUGAAGCAUCUCACAUCAAU